GGGGGAUUAGCACAGUUGGUAGAGCGUCGGAUUUGCAUUCCGAAGGUCAGGGGUUCGACUCCCCUAUCCUCCA
rnacentral:tRNA from 1 species